CAAGUCUUGACAUCCCUCUGAAUCCUCUAGAGAUAGAGGCGGCCUUCGGGACAGAGGUGACAGGUGGUGCAUGGUUGUCGUCAGCUCGUGUCGUGAGAUGUUGGGUUAAGUCCCGCAACGAGCGCAACCCUUGAUUUUAGUUGCCAGCACUUUAAGGUGGGCACUCUAGAAUGACUGCCGGUGACAAACCGGAGGAAGGCGGGGAUGACGUCAAAUCAUCAUGCCCCUUAUGACUUGGGCUACACACGUACUACAAUGGCUGGUACAACGGGAAGCGAAGCCGCGAGGUGGAGCCAAUCCUAUAAAAGCCAGUCUCAGUUCGGAUUGCAGGCUGCAACUCGCCUGCAUGAAGUCGGAAUUGCUAGUAAUCGCGGAUCAGCAUGCCGCGGUGAAUACGUUCCC
rnacentral:rRNA from 1 species